rnacentral:rRNA from 1 species
CACACUAUCAUUAACUGAAUCCAUAGGUUAAUGAGGCGAACCGGGGGAACUGAAACAUCUAAGUACCCCGAGGAAAAGAAAUCAACCGAGAUUCCCCCAGUAGCGGCGAGCGAACGGGGAGGAGCCCAGAGCCUGAAUCAGUGUGUGUGUUAGUGGAAGCGUCUGGAAAGGCGCGCGAUACAGGGUGACAGCCCCGUACACAAAAAUGCACAUACUGUGAGCUCGAUGAGUAGGGCGGGACACGUGGUAUCCUGUCUGAAUAUGGGGGGACCAUCCUCCAAGGCUAAAUACUCCUGACUGACCGAUAGUGAACCAGUACCGUGAGGGAAAGGCGAAAAGAACCCCGGCGAGGGGAGUGAAAAAGAACCUGAAACCGUGUACGUACAAGCAGUGGGAGCCUCUUAAUGGGGUGACUGCGUACCUUUUGUAUAAUGGGUCAGCGACUUAUAUUCUGUAGCAAGGUUAACCGAAUAGGGGAGCCGAAGGGAAACCGAGUCUUAACUGGGCGUUAAGUUGCAGGGUAUAGACCCGAAACCCGGUGAUCUAGCUAUGGGCAGGUUGAAGGUUGGGUAACACUAACUGGAGGACCGAACCGACUAAUGUU